rnacentral:rRNA from 1 species
UUCCGGUUGAUCCUGCGGAGGCCACUGCUCUGGGGGUCCGACUAAGCCAUGCGAGUCAAGGGGGCGUCCCUUCUGGGACGCCACCGGCGGACGGCUCAGUAACACGUCGGUAACCUACCCUCGGGAGGGGGAUAACCCCGGGAAACUGGGGCUAAUCCCCCAUAGGCCUGGGGUACUGGAAGGUCCCCAGGCCGAAAGGGGACCGUAAGGUCCCGCCCGAGGAUGGGCCGGCGGCCGAUUAGGUAGUUGGUGGGGUAACGGCCCACCAAGCCGAAGAUCGGUACGGGCCGUGAGAGCGGGAGCCCGGAGAUGGACACUGAGACACGGGUCCAGGCCCUACGGGGCGCAGCAGGCGCGAAACCUCCGCAAUGCGGGAAACCGCGACGGGGGGACCCCCAGUGCCGUGCCUCUGGCACGGCUUUUCCGGAGUGUAAAAAGCUCCGGGAAUAAGGGCUGGGCAAGGCCGGUGGCAGCCGCCGCGGUAAUACCGGCGGCCCGAGUGGUGGCCACUAUUAUUGGGCCUAAAGCGGCCGUAGCCGGGCCCGUAAGUCCCUGGCGAAAUCCCACGGCUCAACCGUGGGGCUCGCUGGGGAUACUGCGGGCCUUGGGACCGGGAGAGGCCGGGGGUACCCCCGGGGGUAGGGGUGAAAUCCUGUAAUCCCUGGGGGACCACCUGUGGCGAAGGCGUCCGGCCAGAACGGGUCCGACGGUGAGGGACGAAGCCCAGGGGCGCAAACCGGAUUAGAUACCCGGGUAGGCCUGGCUGUAAAGGAUGCGGGCUAGGUGUCGGGCGAGCUUCGAGCUCGCCCGGUGCCGGAGGGAAGCCGUUAAGCCCGCCGCCUGGGGAGUACGGCCGCAAGGCUGAAACUUAAAGGAAUUGGCGGGGGAGCACUACAAGGGGUGGAGCGUGCGGUUUAAUUGGAUCAACGCCGGAAAU